GUUAAACCUCCUCUGUUGCCUCCAAUUUGCCCUACAUCUAACCCCGAACAACACAUCCUCAUUGCCUCCAAUAUCCCCUCAUCGCUACUCCACCUCCACCGUAGCACCUCCACCAUCGCACCAUAUCCACCGUCGCACCACCUCACUGUUGCCCAACCUCCGCCAUCGCACCAUUUCCGGAUCAUUGAAGAAACCUCACUAUCUCCUGACUGCAUCUGUUCAAUCUGAGAAGGAACUUGGUUUAGCUAGUGCCGAUACUGUGGCCGCAAAAUCAGCUGGGAUUCAAUGAAAAGGAAGCCGAUAACUAUCGCCCACACUGGUACCAGAUUUCUUGUGGUUUGUCAACAAGGUUCCACUUGACUAUUCACUCAGAUCCUAUUUAGAAGUUAUCUUCUUAGAUCCGAGGAUGAAGAUAAAAGUCCAAGGGUCAUUGGUAUGUAAAGUACAUUUUUCAAAUUCUUUUUCAUGAGUUAAUCAAGAUGAUCACUUGAUACCUUGGUUUAAAAAGGUGUGAGGUGCUCCAACAUGUUUAGGUUUCGAAAGCCACGCGGUGAGUCAAAAGCUUCACGUACGCAAAGUGUUGCUCUAUGUACUUGAUACCUAUAAACUUAACUUGCAACAGGUUAAAAGCCGGCCUUUAGCAAAGUUUCUACACUAGACCAGCAUAGAAAAUGGUUUUGUAUCGGAAAAACCAGUUCAACUCAUUCUUGGACACUCUAAACUAGGCCUCGAGCACGGUAAUUGUGGAAUUUUUUUAUAUUGGCACGGCCGGUUGAUCGAGGCGAGUUUAUAUCAUUUUAUGCUUACAAAAGAGUUGGGAGCAUGAUACAUAAUGGCCAAAACAGUCAUGGGCUUGUUGGAGUCAUUGAUGUGACUGAUUUGAUGUUAUGUUUCUUAAAUAAAUUUUUUGUUAAGACUGGUGCACCAUUUGUUUUUGAAACAUUUGCUGGCAUGGUUUAUUAUGCAGGAUGAUAGUGGUCGGGUUUGGGUGCAUAACAACAAACAAGCGUUUGUAGAUUGUAUUAGAAGGAAUAUAAGCAAGAUAUGAUAGUUAGUAUAAUGUAUUUAUUAUGUUACAUAAAUGUAGUUAUAUUUAUUUUUAUA